rnacentral:rRNA from 1 species
GAGCUCCUACGGGGCGCAGCAGUGAGGAAUAUUGGUCAAUGGGCGAGAGCCUGAACCAGCCAAGUCGCGUGAAGGAUGACGGCCCUAUGGGUUGUAAACUUCUUUUGUCAGGGAGCAAUUGGGUCCACGCGUGGGCUUAGCGAGAGUACCUGAAGAAAAAGCAUCGGCUAACUCCGUGCCAGCAGCCGCGGUAAUACGGAGGAUGCGAGCGUUAUCCGGAUUUAUUGGGUUUAAAGGGUGCGCAGGCGGACCAUCAAGUCAGCGGUAAAAUCGUGGGGCCCAACCCCAUCC